rnacentral:misc_RNA from 1 species
UUUGUUUUUUAAUUAAAAACUAGAAUGAAAGGUUAUACAUUCAAAUUUCUUUAUUAAUUUUUAAUAAAUAAUUUAUAUUAAAUAUAAAAAUAUAUUUAUAAAAAAAAAAGACGACAAGACCCUAUUAAAUUUUACUUAUAGUUUAGCUGGGGAAGCUUUUCAAUUAAAAUUUUUUAAAAUUUUAAAAUAAAUAUCUAAUUAAAAUUAAAAUUUAAAUAAAUUACUAUAGGGAUAACAGCAUUAUAUUUUUUAAAAGUUCAUAUUAAAAAAAAUGAUUGUGACCUCGAUGUUGAAUUAUAUUUUCUAUAUUUAAUGCAAUAAUUAUAAAAGUAGAUCUGUUCGAUCUUUAAAAUAUUACAUGAUUUGAGUUCAAACCGGUAUAAACCAGGUUGGUUUCUAUCUUUUUAUAUAUUUUUCCAGUACGAAAGGACAAAAAAAUUUUUAUUUUAAUAAAUUAGCAAAUAAAUGCAUUAGAUUUAGAAUCUAAAUAUAUUUAAAUU